rnacentral:rRNA from 1 species
GACGAACGCUGGCGGCGUACCUAAUACAUGCAAGUCGAGCGAAGUUUUUCUGGUGCUUGCACUAGAAACACUUAGCGGCGAACGGGUGAGUAACACGUAAAGAACCUGCCUCAUAGACUGGGACAACUAUUGGAAACGAUAGCUAAUACCGGAUAACAGUAUUUCUCGCAUGAGAGAUAUUUAAAAGUUGGUUAUGCUAACACUAUGAGAUGGCUUUGCGGUGCAUUAGCUAGUUGGUGGGGUAAAGGCCCACCAAGGCGACGAUGCAUAGCCGACCUGAGAGGGUGAUCGGCCACACUGGGACUGAGACACGGCCCAGACUCCUACGGGAGGCAGCAGUAGGGAAUCUUCCGCAAUGGGCGAAAGCCUGACGGAGCAACGCCGCGUGAGUGAAGAAGGAUUUCGGUUCGUAAAGCUCUGUUGUUAGGGAAGAAUGGAUAUGUAGUAACUAUACAUGUAAGAGACGGUACCUAACCAGAAAGCCACGGCUAACUACGUG